UUGCCAAAUCAGGCUUUGCAGAUAUCUGAACCAAUUCAUCAGUGCUCAUAGCACAACUCGGAAGAUGAUCUGCAGAAAGAACACGAAUGCUUGCACCUGUCUCACUUCGCAAUUUUUGGAUGACAUCUCCACGUUUGCCUAAAAGACAUCCAACCAUAUUGUUUGGAACUAAAAGCCGUGCGGUGACAAUAGCGUUCUCAUUAUCAUCAUCAGAUGCCAUUCCACCAAAAAGAUCUUCCUCAACAAUCCUUUCGUGAACUUUCA
rnacentral:misc_RNA from 1 species